rnacentral:rRNA from 1 species
ACGCUAGCUACAGGCUUAACACAUGCAAGUCGAGGGGAAACGACAUCGAAAGCUUGCUUUUGAUGGGCGUCGACCGGCGCACGGGUGAGUAACGCGUAUCCAACCUGCCCACCACUUGGGGAUAACCUUGCGAAAGUAAGACUAAUACCCAAUGAUAUCUCUAGAAGACAUCUGAAAGAGAUUAAAGAUUUAUCGGUGAUGGAUGGGGAUGCGUCUGAUUAGCUUGUUGGCGGGGUAACGGCCCACCAAGGCAACGAUCAGUAGGGGUUCUGAGAGGAAGGUCCCCCACAUUGGAACUGAGACACGGUCCAAACUCCUACGGGAGGCAGCAGUGAGGAAUAUUGGUCAAUGGACGAGAGUCUGAACCAGCCAAGUAGCGUGCAGGAUGACGGCCCUAUGGGUUGUAAACUGCUUUUAUAAGGGAAUAAAGUGAGUCUCGUGAGACUUUUUGCAUGUACCUUAUGAAUAAGGACCGGCUAAUUCCGUGCCAGCAGCCGCGGUAAUACGGAAGGUCCGGGCGUUAUCCGGAUUUAUUGGGUUUAAAGGGAGCGUAGGCCGGAGAUUAAGCGUGUUGUGAAAUGUAGACGCUCAACGUCUGCACUGCAGCGCGAACUGGUUUCCUUGAGUACGCACAAAGUGGGCGGAAUUCGUGGUGUAGCGGUGAAAUGCUUAGAUAUCACGAAGAACUCCGAUUGCGAAGGCAGCUCACUGGAGCGCAACUGACGCUGAAGCUCGAAAGUGCGGGUAUCGAACAGGAUUAGAUACCCUGGUAGUCCGCACGGUAAACGAUGGAUGCCCGCUGUUGGCCUGAAUAGGUCAGCGGCCAAGCGAAAGCAUUAAGCAUCCCACCUGGGGAGUACGCCGGCAACGGUGAAAC